CCGGCGCACGGGUGAGUAACACGUAUCCAACCUACCUCAUACUCGGGGAUAGCCUUUCGAAAGAAAGAUUAAUAUCCGAUAGCAUAUAUUUCCCGCAUGGGUUUUAUAUUAAAGAAAUUCGGUAUGAGAUGGGGAUGCGUUCCAUUAGUUUGUUGGGGGGGUAACGGCCCACCAAGACUACGAUGGAUAGGGGUUCUGAGAGGAAGGUCCCCCACAUUGGAACUGAGACACGGUCCAAACUCCUACGGGAGGCAGCAGUGAGGAAUAUUGGUCAAUGGACGCGAGUCUGAACCAGCCAAGUAGCGUGAAGGAUGACUGCCCUAUGGGUUGUAAACUUCUUUUAUAUGGGAAUAAAGUGGUCCACGUGUGGACUUUUGUAUGUACCAUAUGAAUAAGGAUCGGCUAACUCCGUGCCAGCAGCCGCGGUAAUACGGAGGAUCCGAGCGUUAUCCGGAUUUAUUGGGUUUAAAGGGAGCGUAGGUGGACUGGUAAGUCAGUUGUGAAAGUUUGCGGCUCAACCGUAAAAUUGCAGUUGAUACUGUCAGUCUUGAGUACAGUAGAGGUGGGCGGAAUUCGUGGUGUAGCGGUGAAAUGCUUAGAUAUCACGAAGAACUCCGAUUGCGAAGGCAGCUCACUGGACUGCAACUGACACUGAUGCUCGAAAGUGUGGGUAUCAAACAGGAUUAGAUACCCUGGUAGUCCACACAGUAAACGAUGAAUACUCGCUGUUUGCGAUAUACAGUAAGCGGCCAAGCGAAAGCAUUAAGUAUUCCACCUGGGGAGUACGCCGGCAACGGUGAAACUCAAAGGAAUUGACGGGGGCCCGCACAAGCGGAGGAACAUGUGGUUUAAUUCGAUGAUACGCGAGGAACCUUACCCGGGCUUAAAUUGCAAAUGAAUAAUCUGGAAACAGGUUAGCCGCAAGGCAUUUGUGAAGGUGCUGCAUGGUUGUCGUCAGCUCGUGCCGUGAGGUGUCGGCUUAAGUGCCAUAACGAGCGCAACCCUUAUCUUUAGUUACUAACAGGUUAUGCUGAGGACUCUAGAGAGACUGCCGUCGUAAGAUGUGAGGAAGGUGGGGAUGACGUCAAAUCAGCACGGCCCUUACGUCCGGGGCUACACACGUGUUACAAUGGGGGGUACAGAAGGCAGCUAGCGGGUGACCGUAU
rnacentral:rRNA from 1 species